ACCAGAGAGCGGAAGAAAGUGAGACGGGCGACUUCGCCAGUUCUGUCAAUAAUUCUGGAAAAUACAAUGACGCCGAGGCACUGAGACGUCACAGGGGUGGGCGUAUUUUACCCUUCUACCAAUAAAAGUACAUACAGCUAAUCUGUUUGAGCAAUACAUUUGAAAUAAUGUCUGGCGUUUCGGCGUUUUUAACAAAGCCUGUCAUUCUGCACAUCUUUUUUUAACGUAUUUUGGGCGCAUUUUAAGUUUCGGUCUUGUUCCAAAUGUUCAUUCUGCAGCUGCUCGGGGCUUUCCUCCUCCUGUCUUAGCCCUCAGAGCAGACGCUGCUGCCCGACAAGUUAAUGAAGAUGGUUAUUGGUGAAAGAAGAUCCAUAAUGUCGGACAAUCUGCCUGUGUUAGAGAAGCUGAGCUAUGCAGUAGGACACUUUCUCAACGACCUGUGUGCCUCCAUGUGGUUCACCUACCUGCUGGUAUUCUACCAUUCAGUGCUGGGAUUCAAGAACACAUAUGCAGGCCUGCUGCUGCUGGUUGGACAGAUAGCUGAUGGUGUCUGCACUCCUCUCAUCGGCUAUGAGUCUGACCAAACUCCUGGCUGUGGAAACUAUGGCAAGAGGAAGACAUGGCACUUAGUGGGUACAGUGAGCGUGGUUCUGUCUUUUGCCUUCAUCUUCAGCCAGUGUCUCGGCUGCAACUUCAUCACACCACAGUGGGUCAGCCUGACUUAUUUCAUCCCAUUCAUCGUCAUCUUCCAGUUUGGCUGGGCUGCCACUCAGAUCUCACACCUGUCUCUCAUACCUGAGCUGGUCAGCUGUGAACAUGCUAAAGUAGAACUGACUGCAUACAGGUAUGCUUUCACAGUUGCAGCCAACAUCACCGUGUAUGCAGUGGCCUACCUGCUGUUCCACUUUCAGGCGGGACAGGACAGUGACCCUCUCAGCAACACCCUUGGACCAACAGACAUCCCCAUCUUCAGGAACCUGGCUCUGAUAGUACUGGGCAUCGGCUCUCUCUUCUCUCUCCUCUUCCAUGUGGGAACCAAAGAAAGGAGGCCUGGGGUCAGAGGGGAGUCUGGAGCAGAGGACAGGAGGAGGAUAAGGGAGGAGGAGAACAAGGAGGAGGAUGAGCAGAGUCCCCUCCUUCAUCAUGCCAAGCCUUCAUCCUCUGCUCCGCCUCCUCCUCAGUUUCUUUUGCAGUGGAAAUGUUGGCUCAAACAGCCGGCUUUCUACCAGGUGGCUUUUCUCUACAUGUGCACCAGAUUAAUAGUAAAUCUGUCACAGACCUACAUCUCCAUGUAUCUCAUCAACACACUGGGACUGCCAAAGAAGUUCAUAGCAACCAUACCGUUGGUGAUGUACCUCAGUGGCUUUCUGUCCUCCUUCAUCAUGAAACCCCUCAGCAAACUUAUUGGAAAAUGUCUGACUUACUUCUUGGGACUGCUGAUGAUGCUGGCCUUCUCCUGUUGGGUGCUGCUGGAUGCUACGAUGGGCCAGUGGGUGUACGGGGCUGCCAUCAUGCUGGGAGCAGGGUCAGCGACCAUCCUAGUGAUGUCACUCUCCAUGACCACUGACCUCAUAGCCGAUCAGACGCACAGUGGAGCAUUUGUCUAUGGAGCAAUGAGUUUUACUGAUAAAGUUGCUAAUGGAGCAGCUGUGAUGAUCAUCCAAGCCUUAAACCCUUGCCAUGCUACAGCAUGCUGUCCAGCCUGUGUGUGGUUCUACCAUUACAUCAUAGUCAUAGUGACAGGAGGUGUGGCCAUUGCCGCAGCGAUGGCCCUCUGCAGCAUCCUCAUCUGGCCAAUCAAGAUCAGAGGACGUGGAUUUGGAGGUUAUCAGGAGGAUUCAGAGUUCAGCUCUGAUGAUGCGUCCAGGGUGAAUUAGCCCCCCGCCCAACCAACAAACUGACAGACUUCCUGGUGCACCAUUCAACAGGACAGAAUAAAGAGUCAUAAGAACAUGAGACUCAAAUCAACAGGGAAGGCACUUUAUCUUAAAGGUUUUUGCAGUGACGUCUCAGUGGUUUUUGAUGGCGCUGACAAGGUGCUCUCAAUUGGAGAAAGCUUCAGACUGAGCUGUGAGUUCACAUGUCUGGGAACCAAACACCUCGCACAGCUGUGGAGGGACACAGGACAUAAGGAUAGCAUGUGCCUCAUCAAUAUGAGCUCAAUGCAGCCGAACCUGGUGCUGGUCCUACAUAAAAGCUCUGCUACAGAAGAAGAUACUGGUAGAUACUACUGCAAGACCCAGCCACCCAACACACUCAGCCACAUAAUCUCCAUUCAGGUGGCAGAGGACAGUAGCCCUGUAUCUUCAGGAGAGUCCCCCUCCCCUCCAGCUAUCUGUGCAUCUGCACAGACACCACCCAACACCACCUGCCAGUGUGACCGCAGCCCACAGGAUACCAGUACAGCAGGUCUCCUAGGUCAAAUGUGGUGGUGGGUGCUGCUGGCUAAGAUUGCUUGCUUCCUCCACAUUUUGACCUUCCUGGCAGCCAAAUGCUUCUGACAACAGAGAGAAGAGGAGAAGAGAGAAGAGAGGAGAAAAGAAGCACAAGGCUGUUCUGGAUAAAGCUCAGUUUAUAUUUAAUUAUGGUCAUUCUGCUAAGUCCUAAGGCUUCAUCCACUCUGGACUUGGUUUCUAACUUAAAGUUUUUAGUAUUCACAAGUAUUAUUUAAAUGCAUUUAAUCAUAGAAAUCUCACAUGUAAAUUAUAUUUCAGGUUAUUUUAUUUGGAUUUAUUUUUCAUACUAGCACAUAUUGGGACAAUUCUGGUUUUUAAUCAAUUAUUUAUGCAAUUCUCAAAUAGAAAAAACAAUCUGCGCCAUUACCAAUUUGCUACAGACACAGUAACUGUCUAUCAGUUCAGGGCUGUAGUCUUCUAAGAAUGCAGCCAAACACACUGGUCUCUGAAAUGGGGCGGUGGACUUUAGAGGACUUCCUGUUUGUGUCACCAGCUGUUCCCAUCUUACCCUUUGCCUAUACUGUAUCUAUGUUGUUGUUAUAUGCUGUAAUUGUUUUGUUGUCUUU